CAUGGGGCUGCAGCCCAUGGGGUUGCAAAGAAUCGGACAUGACUGAGCAACAGAAAUAAACUGAAAUUUUUAUCAAGUUCCAUCUAUUAAUUUUUUUCUUUUGGGAAUCAUGCUUUUGCUAUCCUUUUUAAGAACUCCAUGUCUACUUCAAACUCACAGAGAUUUUCUCCUCUGUUUUCUCUUCAAAGUUUUAUAGUUUUACCUUUUGUAUUUAGGUCCAUGACCCAUUUUGAGUUAACUUUUGUAUAAAGUUCAGAGCAUGGUUUGAGAUUCACUUUCAUGGCAUUUGGGCAUCCAGUUGUUUCUUCACCUUUUUAAAGAAUAUAUUUGUUCAUUUAUUUGACUGCACUGGAUCUUAGUUGUGGCAUGCCAGAUCUAGUUUCCUGACUAGGGAUUGAACCCAGGCCCCCUGCCCUGGGAGCUGGGAGUUUUAGCCACUGGACCACCAGGUAAGCCCCUCCUGCACCUUUUGUUGAAACGACAGUUCUUCCAUUGAAUUGCAUUUACCCUUUUGUCAAAACCCAGUAGAUCAUAUUUGUGUGGGUUUAUUUCUGGAUUCUCUAUUCUGCUUCACUGAUCUACUUACUUAUCUUUUUACGAAUACUGCAGUUUUGACUGCUAUAAACCUAUCUUUUUACCAGUACCACAGAGCUGAUUUAACAAGACUUUUAGGAAGUUGUGAAACCAGGUAGUAUGGAUCUUUCAACCUUGCUUUUUUCCAAAAUUUUCUUUGUUAACCAACCCUCCCAAGUCAGUCCCCAGCAAAGGUCCUUUUGCCUGGUGUCACUAACACUGAUAGAACAAGUUACAGUUUGGUUCAGAAGCAUAGGGAAGCUUCGUUAUUCAAUCAAAGAAUGACGAUGUGAGCUCAACUCCUAGAGCCCCUGCUCUCCCCAGAAGACGAACCGUGGGGGGAGGGGAGGAUGCUGCUUUAUAUGGAUUUAAUCAGCUGGGACGGGGCAGAGUUCUCACAAGGCAUGCGCAGCUCUGCCCCUCCGGGUCAGAUCACCGUGAGGAGCGCAGCGACUCUAACCGCGGCACUCUGCCGCCAUCUUGAAUUGAAUGUUAGGAGCAGAGUCUCUGUACACACCCCUGAGCUGAGGUACUGGUGCAGCCAUUUCACCCUAGGAACUUGUUUGAAGUGCUGGGAAUAAGACCUUUGCACACAGCACCCUUUAAGCAAGUGAAACUGGAUGAAGCACAAAGAAGAAGAAAAAGGGUGUCCAGAGAGAUAGAAUGUUCAACUACUGUGGAGAAGAGCACAUGCAGGCCAGUCCUGCUCAGACUGUGGUAAAGAGAUACCAGACGGGGCUGGGAAGAUCUUGCCCACAAGCCUUCACUCCCUCCUAGAUGGUCACAUGACAUUCCCAGAGGCAGAGAACAAAUCCGAUCAAAUGAGGCUGGUAUCUCCAAGUGGAAUUGUGCCAAAGCAUCAGAAUCAUGAAAAUAAAGGAUCUGAGAGAUGGAAGCAACUUCAGAGGUCAUUGAGGUCAUUGAGCUCGGUCUCCUCACUUUCUACAUUAGCAGCCUGAUGGCAGUCCAGGGAGGUGAAGAGGUUCACCACAAUUGCCUGGUUGCACAGGGAAGGCAGGAAUUGCAGUUUAUAUAUCUUGAUUUCUAGGAAGCUAUCUACCCAAGAGUCUUACCAGACACAGAUUUCUUUCUUUUCUUUAUACCUAAUCCCAAGUAUUUAGCAUUCCCAGAGCAUUCCAAAUGGAUGAACAAAAGCAAAGAACUCAGUGUGAUCCAAAGCACUGAUUUCUGGUGUUUCUUCAAGGGUGUUUUUGGCUUUCAAUCUGUUAACCAUAAGGAAUAUUGAGUUUAGCAAAGUACAUCGACGUUUUCUGUGCAACAUGUUAAGAACAGCUGAAACCAAUUAAAUGGUAAUCAAUUUUACCCUGUCUGAUGCAGAAUGGAAAAAAUGUUCCAGAGGUCUCUCCACCCUGAGAUGUUCUUGGCAAUGGGUCUCUGUGCUGUGGGCCCCCUCCCAUCUCUCUUAGUCAUGUACACUCAGAAGAGGAGAGCUGGCCAACUCCCUUCACAACUGGGAGGAGAGUAGAACCAGCCCAGACUUUCCUUUGAAAUGAGAGUUCAUCAUGGGAAAAGAAGGCUGCAGACUCUGAGACAAUGCACAUCACAACUGUGAGAACAGAAGGGUCUGGGGAAGGCAGUGAAGUCACAUUUAUCGAUCCUCCAUGGCCACUUCAUGGAGUUUACCAAGAUCUCUAUUACCUUAUCUCCCUGCCCUGCUUUCCCCCAGUCCCCAUCUUCCAUGAGAAAUAGAUAGCAAAGAAGACAGUGUCCAAAUAUGAUAAACUGGGGUUUGAAUUUGGACUCUGCAAUUAUUAGAUGUGAUGCUAGGCAAGUGAACCUCUCCUGGCCUCAGUUAUUUACUUAUUGGUUAAAAUUGAGUAAUAAUAUCACCUUUUAAAAAUUAAAUGUUUAUAGAGUACCUGAUAUAUAGUGGAUGAGCAACAUGCCUUUUCAUUAAUUAUUCACAAACUCUCCUAUAUUCAAGCCAUUUCAUUCACUUUUCUAUCAGCCUAGUCCAAUGUGUCACAGUGUGUAUGUAUAUUUGUCUGUCUGCUGACUAUCCUGCUCUAUCUGUCCUGAGGAUGCAUGGAUGAGAAUAUGUAUAUUAGGGAACCACAAGACAAAGGGCCCUGGUUCUCUGCUUGUGGGCAGAAUGGGGAGCGUGUUACCCUCCACUCUGCCCAAGGUUCUGUGUCCAGGGUAAUAAUCAUCUUCUAUCCCUGAGGCCUGAAAUUCAGGACUUCUAGCGGAUACUCACCACUCUCCAGUUCACAGCAUUAGUCUAAAUAUAUAUAUUUUUUAAUCUGUUAACUUCAUAUAUCUAUGUGUAUAAAAAUAUCUACAUGGGUAGAUAAACAUGUAUCUAUAUCUUUAUUUUAUUUGCUUAAUUUUUUAUUUAAAUAAAUUCACCUAUUGAUUAAUUAUAUGUAUACUAUUAACUUAUUUUACUAACUUGAUGAUUUACUCUUUUAUAUUUCUGUAAAGAGU